AGGAAUGUAGGGGGAGGGGGGUUCUAUUUAAGGAGAGUUGAGAUGACUAUCGCACCCUUUCUGUUCGGGUUGCUGUUCGAGAACGUACAUGCAACAUAGCCUACAUGUACAAUUGAUGAUUGGCAAUUCCAUCUGAUCAUGUGGCCUGCUGUACAUUUCCAAAGUGUCGUCUUUUGCUGCAUGUUGUAUGUCGUGAAAUCUUAGCUUCUUCAUUGCAGCACGUGCACGUGAUCGUUUCCGUGAAGAGUUUAGUGUACAUUUCUGUAGCAGAUGUUGCUGUCCAAUUUGGCAUGUAUCAGACUGUUGGUGAAAGAUAAUUUUGCAUCAGGUUGAUGAUGUCUGAGCAGCAUUGCUUGCAUGCAGAUGGUUUCGUUGCAGCCAGCUGGUGAAAUGGUAGUGCGAGUUGUACCUGCAGAUGCAGCAAUUAGGGCUUGCUUCAUCCUGAAGUCUGAAAAUGCUACAUGAAGUGUAACCACAGUAGACAUCUUCAAUUGGUUGAUGGUGUCUGAGCUGCAUUGCUUGCAAGCAGAUGGUUUUGUUGCAGCCAGCUGGUGAAAGGUUAGCUCGAGUAGACCUGAAACUGCUGCGAGUAGGACUUGUGUCACCCUGAAGUGUGAAAAUGUUGCAUGAAGUGGAACUGCAGUUGAAGACAUCUUGAAUUGCAGAUCGCUGCUAUGUUAUUGCGGGGUACUUCGUUUCCCGACAUUGUUCGUCAUAAAAUGGGCUGCUUGGUUAUCAAAUGUUAGUUUAUUUUUUCAGUGUGUCGUCAAUUUACAGGCAACAGCCUACAAGUACAACCCAAUUCAAUCUGAUCAUGUGGCCUGCUGUACAUUUCCAAAGUGUCGUCUCUUGCUGUACGUCGUGAAGUCUGAUAAGCUUCUUGGAGGUUGGGUGAGGAAGCUACGUGUUUCAUCAUUAUCAAACAGGUACAAUACCCGCAAGGCUUAAGAGGUGAGGGUGAUCAAAAAAUCGUAAAAAAAGGAGAGAGAAAAGGCCAGAAACAUCAGUCGAGUGAGCAUCUCCGACACGGCAACAACUGCAGCGCACUAUCUGUCACCAUCUGCCUUCUUCACCGUAUUGCUAGUUCGCAUCCAUGGUUAAUAAGGCGUUUUAUGCUGUUGGGUGUUGUAUCUUUGAUUACUGGUGUACCGAGGUCCCCUGCGUAUGGCGGAAACCAAACCGCAACGCCGCCGCCUUCCUGCACAACUUACGCUGCCCCGAGCCACUACACUGACGUCCUGAAGUAUUACUCUGCCCCGAGUUACUACACCACGAAGGCGACGGAGUGCUACAUGACUACGCAUGCUGCCCCAUCCUGCUACACCGAGGCUCCCAA